UACGUAGGGGGCUAGCGUUGUCCGGAUUUAUUGGGCGUAAAGAGCGUGUAGGCGGCCAGAUAGGUCUGCUGUGAAAACUCGAGGCUCAACCUCGAGAUGUCGGCGGGAACCAUUUGGCUAGAGUCCGGAAGAGGAAAGUGGAAUUCCUGGUGUAGCGGUGAAAUGCGCAGAUAUCAGGAAGAACACCCGUGGCGAAGGCGGCUUUCUGGGACGGUACUGACGCUGAGACGCGAAAGCGUGGGGAGCGAACAGG
rnacentral:rRNA from 1 species